UACGAAGGGUGCAAGCGUUAGUCGGAAUUACUGGGCGUAAAGCGUGCGUAGGCGGUUUUCUAAGUCUGCCGUGAAAGCCCCGGGCUCAACCUGGGAAUGGCGGUGGAUACUGGAAAGCUGGAGUGCGGUAGAGGAGGGUGGAAUUCCCGGUGUAGCGGUGAAAUGCGUAGAGAUCGGGAGGAACAUCAGUGGCGAAGGCGGCCCUCUGGACCAGCACUGACGCUGAGGCACGAAAGCGUGGGGAGCAAACAGGAUUAGAAACCCCCGUAGUCC
rnacentral:rRNA from 1 species